AAAGAAUGAGUAGGUAGAAAUAGAGAUAAAGAGAAAGGGAGACAGAGGACGAAAAGGGCCUCUCUGGUUGGUGUCGGUGGCCUUCGACGAGCCACGAGACGAAUUUCGAUUCGAUUGCGUGGGAGCGUGAUAAGGCUACCGGAGGAGGAAACCGAUUAUCGGGUUCACAGUGCCUCACCAGAUGUAACGUCGAACGCGUAUACACGUGCACAAACGCACCAACACCGAGGUGGACGCAAGUGUACGCACCGGAAGCAAUACUCCCUGGCACUUGGCCGGGCAUUAGUGCAUGCACUGGCUGAUAUGUAUAUGUGAACACAAAUAAGCUUGUACACUCCACCGCGUGGGCGUGUGCGUGUGAUUACCACGAAAAGCGGCCCUAGGUUGACAGGAAAUGGUUUGAGAUAAGAUAAUGACGUCCCUCGCCUCUCCUGCAUCCGGCUGCUUUCUUCGUCGCUUCGACGUUGGAAAAUGUUCCCUUGCCGCAGCUGGGACAGGUACUGAUUCAAUUUUCAAUCAAAUAAGUCUACAAAAAUUUUUUUAUGUAACCACCAUGAUAAAAUAGGAAAAUUAGAGAUGAAUUGUAUAAUAAUUACGGUAGAACCUGGAAUCCUUAGAAACUUUCUGACGUAAAAAAAUAGCAGUGAAGAUUUUUUCGAUCAUGAGUCUAAAACAAAAUUUUCAAUAUAAGCUCCAAAAUAAAGUGAACAAAAUGGUGGAUGGAGUGUAAUCAAAAUGGAACCUCGGGCGCACGAAAAUAGCCAUCCGACUCUUUGCGAGGAUUUUUCAAAAUAUACAAGAGGAAUAGCAGUGUAAACGAACCAGGCCUCCACUAUGAAUAAUCGCAUCCUGUCUCAGUAACUAAGCAAAAAAGAAAAGAAGGCUUAAACAUAUAUAAACAUCUGAGGUCGGCAUUUUAUAAUAGUAAUAACGAUAAUAUCUCCAAGUCCAACUUAUUUAAUGUUUGCUGUAAUUAGUUAUGCAAACAUUGAUCGAUGGUAUUGUGCCAACGAUCACGUUUCAUGGAUCAUCAAUGCAUAUUUAUAGGUUAGAGACGUAGAUGGUUUCCCGCGCUUUCCAUUCUAAGGGAAAUUGGUAGACGGGAGACCAAUUCUCUGAAUGACUCUCGAAACUGGUGUGCCCACAUUCCUCCAGCCACACAAGAUUCGAGGUUCUGGCAUGUUCACUAGCCUGUAAAACUGCUUGCGGGAUCUUCAUUCCCCCCUCUUUAUGCCUACGGAUCGAAUAAACGACAUACAGUUAGUAAAAGGUACCAUAAACGUAUCGAUGCAUGUAUAUAGGUAAGUACAAUGAUUAUAAAAGGUUUUACAUUUCAUUGUCAUAAUAUGAAAUUUCUGUAGUCAUAGAAGAGUACAAAUUUAAUAUAUUUAGACAUAAUUAAUCACCAUGUAAAUGCUACAAUAAAUAGAAUAGUGUACAAAUACUUUGUUGAUUAUAUUGAUUAUUAAAAAAAGGGAAACAAUUAUAUCGGUUAGGGUACAUCUCACAUAUAACAUUCGCUUUACUUUAGUUCUCGAAAUAUUCGUAAAAAUAUUUUUAAUACUUUUUAUUUUGGUAUAGGUUAUAUUUGGAUUAGGAUUGAGUUAGGUUCAUAGUAACCGUACACACUUUUUGUAGCCACUGUAUGUAUUUUUCACAUAUAGAUCAAUCAACACCAAAAAUAAAUUAUACUUGCCGAAU